UUUAUGCCUUUAAUCUUCUCAGUGACCGGCAAGUGUUAAAACCAUUUUUAAAAGUACCUUGUAACCUCCAACCUGAAGAAGAAGAAAAAUGGCUUAGGGAGCAGUUAAAAGCCCCAUUAUAUGAGUUUGUCUGCUCUACUGCACUGCCUUGGUAUCAGGAUGCUGUUCCUGCUGUGAAGGAUUCUGGCAGGUUCAUAAAAGCACAUGACUCAUCAGAAGCAGAAUAAUGAACGCAAAGUGAAGUGCCAUCUAUGCCUUAUAACUAAAGAAGGUUAAGAAAGUGAGAAUCCACAGGCCAUGGAACAUCGGAGGUAAUCACUGCCCAGAAGACUUGGAAGCCUCCUUCACAGCAACUCUGAAAAUACUUGGGAAAGGGUACAUUACAUCUAUUAACCUGCUUCAGAGAAAGCAGAGAUCUGUGACGACAUGGUCUAACUCUUCUGAAGUCAAGAAUGUCUUCAAAAGCAGCGUCUGGGCAGCUCAGGGAAGAACAGCAGAGACGGCCACAGUGGGGAGAGGAGAGCUGCACACAGAGGGACAGCUGUGGGAAUUCUCCUUGGGAAUUUUGCAGAGUUACUAUUAUUUUAGGGGCCACUGAAGAAAACAAUGCCCAUCAUUAUUUUUAAAAGUUAUUUAAAGGAGCUGGAGAACUAACUUGGUUGGCAGUUAAGAAAGAGCACAUGGUGAUCUUUUAGAGGACCUGACUUUGGUUCUUAGCACUCACAUGGUUGUCUACAACUGUCUGACUCCAGUGCCAGGGGUUCUGACCUCUUCUUCUGACUUUCCUGAGCAUCAGGCUUCCUCUAUUUGUUUUACAAUUAGCGUAGCUUCACACAAAACGUAGCAAAAACUUUACUGAAACUGGACAGAAAGGAACAGGGAAAGAGAAGCCUUUUAAUACUCUCUCUGAGGGUACUCAGAGAGGAGUGAGAGUAAGUCAGAGUUCUGCGACACUGCCCCACCUCCUCCCUGGGCCUGAUAGCUAGUGACUUUGGAUAUUAGUCACUGUUAGCCUUUGACACCUGUGAGCAGAGUCACCAUGGAGUUGAAGGUCUCAAGGAGGCUCUUGGAGAGCUUCCCAGAGCCACUAGUGGUUAGAUAACCAGACGCAAGAAGGUUCUAGCAGGUCCUUCUCCAGGGACCAGAGCCCAAGUCCUUGAAAAUUCCCUCCUACUAAUCAUCCUUUUAAAAACCAGAUCAAAACGAGUUUAUGGGUCUGUAGUUUAGUCGAGAGUUCUCCACUUUCAGCACUCUGGAAUACUUACAUAUGAGGGUAGAGCUUUGCUGGGUGAGCAUGCUCACUGUGUAUUCUGGAUUCUAUUCCCCGAUAAAAUGUCAGCUUUCAAAAUCAGCUGGAACACAGAGGUGUUCUACUCCCUUUUGUAAUUUUUCAUUCCAGUGUGGGAAAAUGGGAGCAACAGGUUUCUGUGUAUGUUGGCUUGUAGUGAGCAGAGAAGCGGAAGUUUCUUUUCUUUUCUUUUCUUUUUUUUUUAGUUUAUAAAAACACAUCUAAUUAGUAUUAGAAAUAAUGUAUAAUUAUAAUUAAUCCAUAAUUAUAAAUAAUCAAAUUAUCAUUGAUCACAGUAUAACACCAUACUUUUUAAAUCUUUCAAAUAUAAAAUGCACAUUUUAUAAAUUCUCUGAAUACAGUCAUUGAAGUUUUAAACAAUAAUUCUUGAGACUUUCCUUAGAUAAUGUAGUAGAAUAGGUAUGAAGAUGACAACAAAAGUUUGUCAUAAUUAAUCCUUUUUACAAAUUUUACUACCCUUAAAUACUCCCUUAUGAAUUAGGAAAGCAGUUAUAAAGUCUGAGAAACCAGGAACAGUGGCAGGCUUGAUUACUGUGUCUGGCACAUUCUGUAAAUAGUAAAAUAAUAAGGCCGGAGAAAAGAAUUGAAGCAGAAGUUUCUUAUGAAAGUGACCUGGGUCUGUAGACUAUCACCUCAUUUAACGAGGCAGUGCUAUUGGUUCCUCUUGCUGUCAAGCUUAAGAAACAGUGCAUGUUAUGUUUUGUGCAUGUUUUUCAGAAGUCAUGAGAUGACAGCUUAAUUCUCAAGGUGACAUGCUAGUGGGCUUUGGGAGAUAACUAGGGUUACAUGUGGUCAUGGAGUUAGGGACUCCCACUAGUAUUGAGGUCACUAGGAUUUUGCAGAAUCUUACAGUGCUCCAUGGCAUACAAUCCAGGAUCUGGAAAGAGUUGGUUCUGCCCCUUUAUCCGUUGCUGGAAGGACGGCUUAUAGAAAGAAAGAAGGAGAAGCUGUUUGCUGAUAGAGCGGCAAGGAUGGUUCUCUCAGGCCUGCGUUCCUGGGCAGCAGGUUUCUUCUCAAGGGGAGUGAUCACGCUCCCUACUGGGAAUCUUGAACUUGUGAAUUCAAAAUCAUUGAUCAAAAGAGCUGUCCACUUCUGCACAUGCUCAUUCUUGGAAAGUCUGUUCUAGAUAAUCAUUGACUGGGUUCUAGAGGGCUUUUCCUAAAAGAAAAAAUUAACAAUUUUUCCAUUUUAGGAAUUUAUAUCUGCGCAUUUCUAGACCUCAGUCAAUUCCACAGUGGUGGCGUCAGCAGCUUUGCAGUAACAACGUUGGCAUGCUUGCUGUUCCCCCGUGUGAGAACUUUUGCAGAAGCAAAAGGGCUAUGCUCUUAGACAUCCCAGGCUUUAGAACCAUGAACUGAAUACACAGAAUAAAAUCUGUCUUAUGAAUGUAUAUGUAUGUAUUAUGUGGGUAUGAAUCUAUUUAUGGUUGUUUCAUGUAGCCCAGUCUGACCUUGAACUUGCUAAGUAGCCAAGGAUGACCUUGAACUCUUGAUUUCCCCAUCUCUACCAUGCCUGUGCCACCAGACCUCGCUAGACCUCAGUUCGUUAUAACUUAUCCAGUCUGUGGUACUCAACAAUGACAACGGAAAGCAGACCAAGACAGUGCGACUAUAAUCUCGGGCGAUUCUUCUAGGCUAAUAUGUGACAACACUUUGUGUUUAUGAAUUAUUCAGAAGUCCAAGGUCUUGCAGUGAAUCUAAAGACAUUCAUGAACAUCUUGACUCAUUGGCUUUUUUUUAUAUCUUUCUAGAAAUAUCUAUUCAGAAAGGGGAAAAAGGCAGCUGUGACAGUCUCCUUUUCCCCAUUGUUCCCUCUGCUUAGGAAAGGGAGGAAUGGAUUUAUUCACAUACAUUCAUAACUUAGUUGAAAUACAAGACAUUCUUUUCUAAGCAUUAGCUACAUGGGACCAUACUAUGACAUUUCGUUUGCAUGGUCAAAAAUUCUUUUGCUGAGAUAAAAUGCCCCUUUAGGUCCUUAGGGUGAGUCCCUAGUUCUGUCUGCUUCUGUGCAUCCAUGAAAAAUAAAAGGACUUUAAGAUAUGCAUCUAGUAAAGUUUGGAAACAAAUAUCACCCAUUCUUCUU